rnacentral:rRNA from 1 species
CAGGCCAUUCCAAGUUUUAAAUUAUUUAUACCAAGGUUCAUACAGACCCAAAUGUUCGUCUAUAAUUCAUAAUCGAUAGGUUCCUUCUAUAUCUUUCCCUCUUAAUCAUUCUCUUUCAAAUCUCUUUGGCCCUUAUAUCUUCAGCGAAUACCUCCGUGGUAAUAUCCUCCCACUAAAUUGACGAGGAUGAAUAUAGGCGUCUAAUUACCCGCACUAAUAUCAGCGUCCCAAAAUACAGGCGAUCGCUAAAACGCAGAGGUAUAUUGCGCGGCAAAUUCCCUAGAAACAUAUUACGUCGUCACUUUCUGUGUCGGCAUUCGGGGUGAGGAAAAUUGUGGAGGUAUAAAGUCUGA